rnacentral:rRNA from 1 species
UACAGAGGUGGCAAGCGUUGUCCGGAUUUAUUGGGUUUAAAGGGUGCGUAGGCGGUCUUAUAAGUCAGUGGUGAAAUACGGCAGCUCAACUGUCGAGGUGCCAUUGAUACUGUAGGACUUGAGUACAGACGAGGUAGGCGGAAUUGACGGUGUAGCGGUGAAAUGCUUAGAUAUCGUCAAGAACACCGAUAGCGAAGGCAGCUUACUAGGCUGUAACUGACGCUGAGGCACGAAAGUGUGGGGAUCAAACAGG